UCUCUCUCUCUCCCCCCCGCUCCCCCUUUCCUCACUUAGACACAAAUAACUUAAAAUAUCCACAAUAAACACACAUUCCUGGUAAUAAAAGUGCUCAUUGUUAAAAGCUGAGUCACGUUAAACCACCAAGAGGUUUCGGGGCAAAGGAGGAACUUCUAUUACUUAUUUAUUACAGUUGUUAGUGGGUCAACUUUAUUAUUAUUUAUUCACUUAUGAUCCGAUGUCCUGCGGCUGAUAUUUAUUCACUAGUGUUUUUGUGUGUUUUAUUGGUGCAUGAAGAAUUAUGGAGCAAAAACAUAACAUAGCAUAACACAUAUAUAUAUAUAUAUAUAUAUAUAUAUAUAUAUAUAUGCAUGUAUAAAAAUUGAAAUUAGAUCGACUGUUUUGUUUGUCAUCAGGCUUUUAUAAUAAUCCUGAUAUAUAACAGGAAGCAUCCAGUAAUAUUUACGACCCACAUGUGUAUCAACAUGCAUGAACACUGCGUAACGUUUCCAUCUGCUGUGUUUCCUCGUUGUAUAAACGCCUCUCUCUCUCUCGUCCUGUUAUUAACCGCGUCACUUUGUGUCUCUUGUCUCUUUUUUAAUCAUCUUCUGUAAAUAUGGAGGUGACAUGAGAGAUAAUGACAGAACAUCUACAUGGAAACUGCUCGACAGAGAGUUCAGGUUCCGUUUGUCAUCAUUACUUCCUACUUUUGUGUAAUCAGUUUGUCAGGUGAUCAGAAGAUGAACUCAUUGGUUUCUCACAGGGUUCAUAAUGAUAUGAUAUCAUAUAUAAUGAAUAAAUAAACCACAACAACAUUGCAGUCUUAAAUCUGGAGCGUAAUGAGGAGAAAGUGUUCGAUUGGGACAAAGGAAUCCUUCGUGAGAAUCCUUCAUUUAUAUUUCAGUUGUUCUGGGUUUUGGGAUCAAUGCGGGCUGCUGGGGGAGUUCUUCCCCCCCCCCUCCUCCUCCCCCCCGUCUCCCCCCUGUGCGGCGCUGCUUUAAUGAGCCUCAGAGCUCCGGGCGAGAGAGAACAGACCCGAUGAAUGAAACAAACACGCGACCCCUGAAGCCGAAAAACCUCAGAACCUCAAAACGAUGACGCGUUAAAUUCCUUUGAGAAGAAGAUGCUCUCCGUCCAGAAGAGGCAAAGUCUGCAGAGCACCACAAUUAAUGUGUGUGUGUGUGUGUUUGAGGAGGCAGUGGCCGCCACUGGUGCAGGCGCUGCACCUCCUGCACCAUCAGCACCUCCUGCACCAUCAGCACCACCUGCACCAUCAGCACCAUCAGCAUCUCCUGCACCACCUGCACCAUCAGCAUCUCCUGCACCAUCAGCACCUCCUGCACCAUCAGCACCAUCUGAUGACCAUCUGAAGGGAGUUUGUAUUUUCUCAGCGUGCAUCCGACUCUUUCGGUUCUCUCGGCGCCUCAGAGAUUUUUGGGCUGCAAACGGGAGGAUGUGGAAGUUGGACGAGAGCAGCUGCAGCACGACCCCUUGAUCGCCCGGCCGGCUCCCUCUCUCUCUCUCUGAGGAGGAUGCGUGGCAUCAGGUAACCGUGUUCUUUACUCAUUAGCUGGAAGCACAGGAGGAACCGGUUCCUGUGGUCAUUCAGAGCAGUAAACUCCUCUCAGCAGGUACGAUGGCAGCGGACGAAGUGGAGACACGUGGAGGAAGAACACAGGACCAGGAACAUCUGGAGGAGGAUUCCCAUGUCCCAAAUGUUAAGAUCUUCCAGUCUCGUGGGUCUGCAGACGUCUGCUGACACGGCCGUGUUCUAAAGAAACACCCGACUGGUUCCACAGGGAGACAUGAAGACGUAUCCGCUGCCUCCCACCUGAACUCCUCGUGGAGCUCCCACCAGUAGAACCCUUCCAAACGCCAUGGAGGACAGAGCGAGGCUCUUCAGGCUCCUGUCCUCCUCCCUCGCAGACAUCAUUCAGCCAACCACCUCCAGGGGAUCAACCAACACAUUUCUUCAGGAGCUGGAAAAUCUCCUCAAAACCCAAACUGAAAGCAAGCCCCGAGGGGGGGGGAGACAUCAGAUGAGAGGACGUCCUGUCCUCCACUCCGGAGCGCUCAUACACCCACGCUGGGUUCUGUCCCUCACCCGUCUCUGAGGGACCCGGUCAGGUUGUGUUGAGGGAGUUUACUGAAGAUAAACCCGUUUUCCCUCCGGGUCGAACACCUGAUGACGGAGGCGAUUGCAGCACCGACCUGAGCCGGGACGCCAGCACAGCGCCCCCCAGUGUGCAGGAGCAGAACCGCGGUGGAGGGCCGACACCCGGUUCGUCUCUCACGUCCUCCUCCUGGAUUCAAGGGCUGGAAUCGUUGUCUCAACGCGGCGCUCUCUGUUCUAACCGCCUCCUUAUUUUCAUACACGUACUGGAUAGUAGUAUUAGUACACAGUACUCAGAGGAGCAGUAUGAAGUAUUAUCACAUUGUUCUUCCUCCAUGACUCCCUGGACCCGUGUCAGCUCUGGAUGAGGAGCCCCGGGUGGGUGGAUGCUCCCUCUAUUGUGUGUGUGUGUGUGUGUGUGUGUGUGUGUGUGUGUGUGUGUGUGCGCUCGGCUGGGCGGAGCAGGAAGCUGGUUCGUAUUUAUAUCUGCAGCAGGACCUCGCUGUGACUCAGAGGCCUGCUGUGGUGACACUUCGUCCUCUGUUCCGUGUGCAGGCCGUUUGGAACCUACGUGAAAGUGUGCAGACGAUUUGGUUUUGUGUCAUUUGUUCUGUCUGUAAAUGACAUUUCAUUUCAGUUAUUGUGGAUUCUUGUUUUUGAUCUUGCUUCUGUUUGCAUUUUGACCUCUGCUGCUGUAAUCCUGUGACCUCAAAUGUUAACCCCCCGCCCCCCACAGGUCAGAGCAAUCUGUAACCAGAGGUCAGAGGUCAGAGUCCAGUGUUGGCUGACACGUUAAGGGGCCUUUUGGGAUAUUUAAUUCUACUUAAUAUUACAUCUGUGUCUCUGAUUCUUGCCCCAGGAAAAAAAGGUUCACAGCAGACUUUCCAUCUCUGUUAGUGAAGACUUGUUGAAACGGCACGAAGAAUCUUUUAGCACCUGACUGCAGAUCUGCUGCUUCCACGUUGUCGAGGCUCAUUUCUGAACCCCCCCCCCCAAAAAAAAACAAUUGCCCCGGUGCUUCGGGCGACUGGCCCCAGCCAGACAGAGAGCAGCAGGCAGCGGACUGAGGGAGGGCUGUAACGGAGUGUAACUCACAGGCCGAUGACGUGAGAAGGUUCUCUCCCCCCCCGGGUCGCCCGUCUCAUAACUCCCGCCCUCUCUGAUCCAGAUCCCCGCGGCCUCAUGCAAAGCAGGCCGGGAGGACGCCGCCAUGCUGGGAGCCACAGAGUGAAGACUCUGAGACACAAAAAAGAUCCCGAAAGCCGGGAAGGUUGAUGUCAUCGUUCGCUUUCAUCAGCCUCUGACGCCCAACAGACGAUUCAUCCAGCUCCUUUUUCCUGGUGAAAACAGUCAUAGAAGUGGGCUGAGAUCCAGUACGCAGGGCCCCGUCAAAAUAAAAGCCCCUGUAACAACGCUC